rnacentral:rRNA from 1 species
UACGGAGGGUGCAAGCGUUAUCCGGAUUCACUGGGUUUAAAGGGUGCGUAGGAGGGCAGGUAAGUCAGUGGUGAAAUCUUUGGGCUUAACCCGAAAACUGCCAUUGAUACUAUCUGUCUUGAAUGCGGUGGAGGUGAGCGGAAUAUGUCAUGUAGCGGUGAAAUGCUUAGAUAUGACAUAGAACACCGAUAGCGAAGGCAGCUCGCUACACCUGCAUUGACUCUGAGGCACGAAAGCGUGGGGAUCAAACAGG